rnacentral:rRNA from 1 species
GAUGAACGCUGGCGGCGUGCUUAACACAUGCAAGUCGAACGAUAAGGCCCUGCUUUCGGGGUGUGUUAGUGGCGAACGGGUGAGUGACACGUGAGUGACAUCCGCUUUACUCUUUGGGAAACCUUGAGAACUGUGGCGAAUACACGGGAUAGGCGCUCCCCGCGUGGGGGGGGUGGGGGAGAGUUUUGGCGGUUGGGGAUGGACUCGCGGCAUAUCAGCUUGUUGGUGGGGUAGUGGCUUACCAAGGCCACGACGGGUAGCCGGCCUGAGAGGGUGACCGGCCACACUGGGACUGAGACACGGCCCAGACUCCUACGGGAGGCAGCAGUGGGGAAUAUUGCACAAUGGGCGCAAGCCUGAUGCAGCGACGCCGCGUGAGGGAUGACGGCCUUCGGGUUGUAAACCUCUUUCGGUAGGGACGAAGCGAAAGUGACGGUAACUGCAGAAGAAGCACCGGCUAACUACGUG